AAGCGGAGGAAAAGAAACCAACAGGGAUUGCCCUAGUAACGGCGAGUGAAGCGGCAACAGCUCAAAUUUGAAAUCUGGCUCUUUUAGAGUCCGAGUUGUAAUUUGCAGAGGGCGCUUUGGCUUUGGCAGCGGUCCAAGUUCCUUGGAACAGGACGUCACAGAGGGUGAGAAUCCCGUACGUGGUCGCUAGCUAUUGCCGUGUAAAGCCCCUUCGACGAGUCGAGUUGUUUGGGAAUGCAGCUCUAAAUGGGAGGUAAAUUUCUUCUAAAGCUAAAUAUUGGCCAGAGACCGAUAGCGCACAAGUAGAGUGAUCGAAAGAUGAAAAGCACUUUGGAAAGAGAGUCAAACAGCACGUGAAAUUGUUGAAAGGGAAGCGCUUGCAGCCAGACUUGCUUGCAGUUGCUCAUCCGGGCUUUUGCCCGGUGCACUCUUCUGCAGGCAGGCCAGCAUCAGUUUGGGCGGUGGGAUAAAGGUCUCUGACACGUUCCUUCCUUCGGGUUGGCCAUAUAGGGGAGACGUCAUACCACCAGCCUGGACUGAGGUCCGCGCAUCUGCUAGGAUGCUGGCGUAAUGGCUGUAAGCGGCCCGUCUUGAAACACGGACCAAGGAGUCUAACAUCUAUGCGAGUGUUUGGGUGUCAAGCCCGAGCGCGUAAUGAAAGUGAACGGAGGUGGGAACCCGCAAGGGUGCACCAUCGACCGAUCCUGAAGUUUACGGAAGGAUUUGAGUAAGAGCAUGGCUGUUGGGACCCGAAAGAUGGUGAACUAUGCUUGAAUAGGGUGAAGCCAGAGGAAACUCUGGUGGAGGCUCGCAGCGGUUCUGACGUGCAAAUCGAUCGUCAAAUUUGGGCAUAGGGGCGAAAGACUAAUCGAACUAUCUAGUAGCUGGUCU
rnacentral:rRNA from 1 species